GAAGCUGACCAGACAGUCGCCGCUUCGUCGUCGUCCUUUCGGGGAGACGGGCGGAGGGGAGGAAAGUCCGGGCUCCAUAGGGCAGGGUGCCAGGUAACGCCUGGGGGGGAAACCCACGACCAGUGCAACAGAGAGAAAACCGCCGAUGGCCCACGCAAGUGGGAUCAGGUAAGGGUGAAAGGGUGCGGUAAGAGCGCACCGCGCGGCUGGUAACAGUCCGUGGCACGGUAAACUCCACUCGGAGCAAGGCCAAAUAGGGGUUCAUAAGGUACGGCCCGUACUGAACCCGGGUAGGCUGCUUGAGCCAGUGAGCGAUUGCUGGCCUAGAUGAAUGACUGUCCACGACAGAACCCGGCUUAUCGGUCAGUUUCACCU
rnacentral:RNase_P_RNA from 1 species